rnacentral:ribozyme from 1 species
GUCGUCCGGAACAGCAGCCUCCACGGUGGCGGGCGAUGGGCAACAGCCGGGACAAUCCGGCUGGCUGAUAGCUGUU